rnacentral:rRNA from 1 species
GAUGAGUGGGGGCGAGAGGCGGGGGUAAUACAGAGGGGGCGAUCGGUAAUCGGAUUUACUGGGCGUAAAGCGUGCGUAGGCGGCUUUUUAAGACGGAUGGGAAAUCCGCGAGCGUAACGUGGGAAGUGCAUUCGAUACUGGGAAGCUAGAGUAUGGGAGAGGAUGGUAGAAUUCCAGGUGUAGCGGUGAAAUGCGUAGAGAUCUGGAGGAAUACCGAUGGCGAAGGCAGCCAUCUGGCCUAAUACUGACGCUGAGGUACGAAAGCAUGGGGAGCAAACAGGAUUAGAUACCCUAGUAGUC